rfam:Triticum aestivum genome assembly, contig: Triticum_aestivum_CS42_TGACv1_scaffold_407329_5BL
UGUGUACUCCCUCCGUUCCAAAAUACUUGACUUCCAUUUGUCCAAAAAUUGGAUGUACCUAUAUACUAAAACAUGUCUAGAUACAUAUAUAUUUUGACAAAUAGAAGGCAUGUAUUGUGCAACGGAGGGAGUAGAAU